AAUAUAUAUGUAACUUCAAACUCAUCUAAAUUUCACAUCUAUCAAACUAUAGCUAUUAAAAUUGUUUUCACAUAUAUAGGUUAAUAUGGCGUUUGUUCAUUUUAUCAUAGCUCUUCUCUUUGCAUUAGCUCUUGCUACAAUUGAUCCUUCUUCAAGCCAUAUGGUAAAAGGAAGAGUCUCUUGUAAUGAUUGUACUCAGGACUAUGAUUUCUCUGGAAUUAAGGUCUCAAUGAAGUGUGAAGGUGUGAAAAACUUGGCUAUGGCAACUACACAACAUGAUGGUUCCUUCAUGGUUGAUCUUUCUACAUACCAUCCAAAACCAUUAUCUUAUGAUAAUUGCCAUGUAAAAAUUCUUGGUGGGCCAUAUAAAAUUUAUGCCACAAGGAAAAACCAAUUCUCACAAAUUGUGAAGGACAAAGAAGGAAAUAGCUACACAAUUUCCACUCCUCUUAGUUUUUUCACUUCUUGCCCCAAAAAUAAAGAAUGCAAAGUUGAGAAGAAUAAUGAAUUUGGUUCAUCAAAAACCAUUAAUUUUCCAUUGCCUCCAGCAUGGGGUUUGGCACCAUCUAGUUAUUAUCUUCCUUUUUUCCCUAUCAUUGGAAUACCAUGAUCAUAUUUAUUAUGUUCCAUUAAUCCUGGAAGAAUAAGACACCUACAUAGUUGUGGUGGUAAAAAUAAUGUAUGUUUAAGAUGUUUGUAAAAUGUUUGUGAAGGCAGUUUAAUUAUUUUUUUUAUUUAUUUGUUGUUAAGCAAGUUCAUUAAUGUCUUAGGUUGAAAAAGCAGAUAAACAUAUCUUCCUAUUUUGAACAAUAUUUAUGUUGCACUAUUAUGAUAUGUAAAAGCAUAAUAUUAUUCUGA